UGGGGAAUUUUGGACAAUGGGGGAAACCCUGAUCCAGCCAUCCCGCGUGUGCGAUGAAGGCCUUCGGGUUGUAAAGCACUUUUGGCAGGAAAGAAACGUCGCGGGUUAAUACCCCGCGAAACUGACGGUACCUGCAGAAUAAGCACCGGCUAACUACGUGCCAGCAGCCGCGGUAAUACGUAGGGUGCAAGCGUUAAUCGGAAUUACUGGGCGUAAAGCGUGCGCAGGCGGUUCGGAAAGAAAGAUGUGAAAUCCCAGAGCUUAACUUUGGAACUGCAUUUUUAACUACCGGGCUAGAGUGUGUCAGAGGGAGGUGGAAUUCCGCGUGUAGCAGUGAAAUGCGUAGAUAUGCGGAGGAACACCGAUGGCGAAGGCAGCCUCCUGGGAUAACACUGACGCUCAUGCACGAAAGCGUGGGGAGCAAACAGGAUUAGAUACCCUGGUAGUCCACGCCCUAAAACGAUGUCAACUAGCUGUUGGGGCCUUCGGGCCUUGGUAGCGCAGCUAACGCGUGAAGUUGACCGCCU
rnacentral:rRNA from 1 species